AUUGAACGCUGGCGGCACGCUUAACACAUGCAAGUCGAGCGGUAACAUGAUCUGUAGCAAUACAGAUUGAUGACGAGCGGCGGACGGGUGAGUAACACGUAGGAACCUGCCCAAAAGCGGGGGAUAACCAAGGGAAACUUUGGCUAAUACCGCGUAAUCUCGAGAGAGGAAAGCUGCCCGCAAGGGUGGUGCUUUUGGAGGGGCCUGCGCCGGAUUAGCGAGUUGGUGAGGUAAUAGCUCACCAAGGCGAUGAUCGGUAACUGGUCUGAGAGGACGACCAGUCACACUGGGACUGAGACACGGCCCACACUCCUCCGGGAGGCAGCAGUGGGGAAUCUUGGACAAUGGGGGCAACCCUGAUCCAGCGAUGCCGCGUGGGUGAAGAAGGCCUUCGGGUUGUAAAGCCCUUUAGGUCGGGAAGAAGUGUGUAGGCUGAAUAAUCCUAUACAUUGACGGUACUGACAGAAUAAGCACCGGCAAACUCUGUGCCAGCCGCCGCCGUAA
rnacentral:rRNA from 1 species